ACUGAUACCAAUUAGACACGACCCACUUCAUUUCUCAGUAUUCAUCGAUCAGUUCAUCUAGGGCUCAUUGGCGAUAUCCACGAGGUGAACAUUCGUGCCUCCUCUUCAUCGUUAUACAAGGUUUUUCAUCAGAUUUUUAUCUCUUCCUAACAGAUUACAAGGGUUUCAUUGGUGAUCUCCAACGAUCAAGGAUUUAUCUACUAUUAUCAGAUUAAAAAGUUCUGACGGUGGGCUAUAAGCAUUGCUUGAGACGAGGGCGCUGUUAUCGUGACUUCCUUUGAUUCAAAUUGUUGCUCUGGCAAUCUCUAUCAUGCCCAAGAGAAGUUAUAUCUUGGAGACAAAUUGCUUCUAAUAGAAGGGAUGCUGUGGUUAAAACUAUUAUUCUAGAGUCUACAGAUGCUAAAAGAGACACCGAGAGUCUGCUAAGUUUAGAAAGAGAAUAUUAAGGCUUUGGAGCAAAUGUGUACAACCAUCCCGGAUAAUAAGCAACAAUGUGAUAUUUUUCGUUCGUUAUCCAUCUUUUGUUUUUUAAAGGACAUGUUAGUUUUUUUUUUUAUAGUUUUAUCUUUGUUUUUUUAAUCGAUAUGCCAUUGGUAUAUGUAUGUAAUGGACAAGCCAUGUAUGGACGUAUUUAGUAAUUUAUUUUUUGGUAAAAUAUGUAUGUAAUGGACAAGUCAUGGAUGUAUUUAAUUUGGUAAAAUAAAUUACUUUUUAUGGUUUUAUUAUAA